rnacentral:lncRNA from 1 species
UGAGAAAAAAAAAACUGUGUUAAUUAAAAAGAAAAAAAGGUUAUUGUUGAAUAGGAUCACAGGCAAAUAAAAUCGAAAAAGAAAAAUAGUAAAAAAACUUUAUGACUUACAGUCGAAAAAGGAUUGGAUUAUCAGAUGUAGAGAAAAUGGAUGUUAGAGAUGUUAUUAUAUAGCUGAAUGGACAGUCGUAAGGGUAUAGGAAGCGACCUUGAAAAAUGCUUCGUUCAUGGUGGAUUAAUCCAGUACUGAAAAUAGCGUCGAAGGAAGAGGAAACGAUAAUGGAAGAAGUGGCAGGAAAGGAAGAAAUCCAUUGUGCCGUAAAUUCUAUUUGGAG